GAAAAGGGUACCAUGUAUCGGAAGAGAGAACCGACAUGUGAAGAAACUGAAAAGAAUGAGGGAUAUUCGCACGAGAAGUAGACCAAAAAGAAGAGUACGAAAAUCCCCAGCGGGAGACCUCAAGACCAUUGCAGGAGGCUUUUCAAGACAAUAUGUGAUGAAAAUCAACCUAAGGGGUUACAAUGAGUAAUUGGAUUACCAUUUCCGACACCACCUCGAAACAUCUCCGCUGUGAUCUUGAAGUCCUUCACCUCGGUUACCGUGAAACUCAGCCCCUGCCGAUUUAAAGUUGUUGAUGAGAUCAACCAAGGUCGGUUACUGUUUGAAGAAAAUUCUUUCUAGAUUUACACCAGCUCUCUAAAGAUGGUCUUUGACUGUGUUUUUCUCAGGGAUGCACCCAAUAAAUGAAAGGAAGAUGUUCCAGCAAUUAGUGAGAGCAGCAAGCAAGCCAAAUCCAUCACCCAUAGUUACAUGUACAGGGAAAACGUAGAUACAAGAAAACACAACGUUGAUUUGAGAAAAAUACAACACAAAAUACACAAUUCCUGGGGUACAGCAAAAGGUUGUGAUUUGGGAGGGAACAACAUCAAUGUAAAAACUUCCGUAUAACAUUGAAUGAAGAUUCAAUUGAGAAACAUAGUUUCUAGACUCUGCGUUGCUCACACGUGGAUUGCACCCUAAGUUGUUUCAUGUAACUAUAUUACUGAAACCCAUCAUGCCAAUAAGCAUAAAGCUGUAUCAGCUAUACACAAAUACGUUAAUCCAUCUGGGUUGGAUUCGACCACUUUCCAUGUUGCCUGCCAAAGGUUUGAAGAAAUGUCUGACCUAACUGUUGCUUCAGCAACGAUCAUAAUUCAAGGUUUCGUUAAGCGGCAUUGCUAUAAAGAUGCUAUCCAUAAUAAACGGGUCAUAAUAAAGAAGCUGUGAAUUCACCGAUACCUCCGCUCCGUCGCUGAUCAGAACUUAUCGUGUCUGGCAAGGCAGUAACGUAAGUAACAUGUAACUUUCUCCGAUCACUUAUAUGAUUCAUUUUUAGAUCAUCUUUCACCUCUCUGAGUUUGAUUCCGAGUUCUCUAUGUCAAUCAACACCGAGUUUAUUCGGGAGCAUGAGGAUACCAAAAAGACUCUAGAGUUUCUUGUUACGCUGUAGUGAAAUGGAUUGAAAUAUUUUCAACUCUGUGUUGUUUCUGCAUAAUUUGAAUUUUUCUGUUUAUUAAAAUAGUACUUGUAUUUGUUAUUUGUGAUGAUCUUUUGCUUUUCUGAAAU
rnacentral:sRNA from 1 species